CCUCUUUAACUUUGCUUGUGGUUGUAUUAAACAUGUACGAUAGUGAUUUCCGAUCUUGACACGGUUUGUAGGCUGUUAACAAACAGGAGACUAUUGUCACUGUUGAUGUGACAAAGACGUCUACUUUUUACUCUCUUUAUUGCGUUGUUUUUUCUCCCUUUUACUCGUCCAACUUACAAAUAUUUCAUCAUAUUUUUUUUAUUUUGCAUGGCACAC
rnacentral:lncRNA from 1 species